rnacentral:rRNA from 1 species
AUGAACGCUAGCUACAGGCUUAACACAUGCAAGUCGAGGGGCAGCAUGAACUUAGCUUGCUAAGUUUGAUGGCGACCGGCGCACGGGUGAGUAACACGUAUCCAACCUGCCGAUGACUCGGGGAUAGCCUUUCGAAAGAAAGAUUAAUACCCGAUGGCAUAGUUCUUCCGCAUGGUGGAACUAUUAAAGAAUUUCGGUCAUCGAUGGGGAUGCGUUCCAUUAGGUUGUUGGCGGGGUAACGGCCCACCAAGCCUUCGAUGGAUAGGGGUUCUGAGAGGAAGGUCCCCCACAUUGGAACUGAGACACGGUCCAAACUCCUACGGGAGGCAGCAGUGAGGAAUAUUGGUCAAUGGACGAGAGUCUGAACCAGCCAAGUAGCGUGAAGGAUGACUGCCCUAUGGGUUGUAAACUUCUUUUAUACGGGAAUAAAGUGAGGCACGCGUGCCUUUUUGUAUGUACCGUAUGAAUAAGGAUCGGCUAACUCCGUGCCAGCAGCCGCGGUAAUACGGAGGAUCCGAGCGUUAUCCGGAUUUAUUGGGUUUAAAGGGAGCGUAGGCGGACGCUUAAGUCAGUUGUGAAAGUUUGCGGCUCAACCGUAAAAUUGCAGUUGAUACUGGGUGUCUUGAGUACAGUAGAGGCAGGCGGAAUUCGUGGUGUAGCGGUGAAAUGCUUAGAUAUCACGAAGAACUCCGAUUGCGAAGGCAGCCUGCUGGACUGUAACUGACGCUGAUGCUCGAAAGUGUGGGUAUCAAACAGGAUUAGAUACCCUGGUAGUCCACGCCGUGAACGAUGAAUACUAGGUGUCGGGAGGCAUUGCCUUUCGGUGCCGUCGCAAACGCAGUAAGUAUUCCACCUGGGGAGUACGCCGGCAACGGUGAAACUCAAAGGAAUUGACGGGGGCCCGCACAAGCGGAGGAACAUGUGGUUUAAUUCGAUGAUACGCGAGGAACCUUACCCGGGCUUGAAUUGCAACUGAAUGAUGUGGAGACAUGUCAGCCGCAAGGCAGUUGUGAAGGUGCUGCAUGGUUGUCGUCAGCUCGUGCCGUGAGGUGUCGGCUUAAGUGCCAUAACGAGCGCAACCCUUAUCGAUAGUUACCAUCAGGUUAUGCUGGGGACUCUGUCGAGACUGCCGUCGUAAGAUGUGAGGAAGGUGGGGAUGACGUCAAAUCAGCACGGCCCUUACGUCCGGGGCUACACACGUGUUACAAUGGGGGGUACAGAAGGCAGCUACACGGCGACGUGAUGCUAAUCCCGAAAGCCUCUCUCAGUUCGGAUUGGAGUCUGCAACCCGACUCCAUGAAGCUGGAUUCGCUAGUAAUCGCGCAUCAGCCACGGCGCGGUGAAUACGUUCCCGGGCCUUGUACACACCGCCCGUCAAGCCAUGAAAGCCGGGGGUACCUGAAGUGCGUAACCGCGAGGAGCGCCCUAGGGUAAAACUGGUGAUUGGGGCU